GGGGAAUAUUGGACAAUGGGCGCAAGCCUGAUCCAGCCAUGCCGCGUGAGUGAUGAAGGCUUUAGGGUUGUAAAGCUCUUUCGCCGAUGAAGAUAAUGACGGUAGUCGGAGAAGAAGCCCCGGCUAACUUCGUGCCAGCAGCCGCGGUAAUACGAAGGGGGCUAGCGUUGUUCGGAAUUACUGGGCGUAAAGCGAGCGUAGGUUGUGUCGCAAGUCAGUGGUGAAAUCCCGGAGCUUAACUUCGGAACUGCCAUUGAAACUGCGAUGCUAGAAUCUCGGAGGGGGUAGCGGAAUUCCAAAUGUAGGGGUGAAAUCCGUAGAUAUUUGGAGGAACACCGGUGGCGAAGGCGGCUACCUGGACGAGUAUUGACACUGAGGCUCGAAAGCGUGGGGAUCAAAC
rnacentral:rRNA from 1 species